AGAUUCAUCGUCAGCGGCGCAGGCUUCCAUGCGGUUCGCGAUGCUCGGGGCUUCGGCUCCGCGGCACGUGACCACUGUGGCAUGUCCGGCGUCGUCGGCGUGCACUUCUCCCCUAGUAGGACGUCGCGACCCGUUGGGUGUCGGUCUACGGCCUGGGUGGUCGUCUGUCGCGUCGCGUCUUUCGAGGCGCUCGUUGGCAGACCCCCGGAUGCCCGACCGGCUGCCCGGCGGUACUCGCACGGUAUCGAGCCGCAGCCUUGACUGCGUCAGGCCCGUCGCAAGCGCGGCCAGUGUUACCCGGAGGUGCGGACCUAGCGCCGUCCCCGGGCCUGGCCAGCUGUUGGUUGACGGUGUCCUCGGACCGGCUCUGUCGAACGUAUGUAUUUGUGAUACCGGUCGGCGACGCUACUGCUUUGGGUACUUUCAGGACCCGUCUUGAAACACGGACCAAGGAGUCUAACAUGUGCGCGAGUCAUUGGGACCGCAAAGCCUAAAGGCGUAAUGAAAGUGAAGGUCGGCCUCGCGUCGACCGAGGGAGGAUGGGUCGCGUCACGAUGCGACCCCGCACUCCCGGGGCGUCUCGUACUCAUUGCGAGUUGAGGCGCACCCAGAGCGUACACGUUGGGACCCGAAAGAUGGUGAACUAUGCCUGGUCAGGACGAAGUCAGGGGAAACCCUGAUGGAGGUCCGUAGCGA
rnacentral:rRNA from 1 species